UCAGGAAAUACACUAUACACUUUCUUAUUCGUAAAAGCUCCAUGUCAGGUCUUGACUACAGCUGAUGGGGCACUCAUAUUUGCAGAGCAGCGCUUCUGUUAUCAGGAAAUAAUUCAGGCAUGCGAGAUAGGAAACUAACAUUAGACUAUACACUCCAAUUUUAUGAAAAAGAUCCAAUAAUUCAACAACUUAAGAGUGUACCUUCUCACAAUUAGAUGACAUAUAAUAAUCAUCUUGUCAAAUAAAUUAUGCCACGCUAUAAUUUAUCCUAAAUUUUUGUUAAGCAUGCACAAUAAGAACUCAUCCUUUAGGAAGAAACCAAGAACACUAAGGAAAAAAAAAAAAGAAUGAAUAACAUACCAUAUAGCUUGAUAAUAAAAAUUUUCCAUAUAGUUGCCUGUCACACUUCAACAACAGCGUACCGAAAUGUUACAAGAUGCAAGACCUUUAUCCAAGUGCUGAAAUCCAAUCAUCAAUUCAAACAAGCGUGGUAACAAGCACAGAAAGUAAAACUUCUCCAAGAGAUAAUGAUAUAAAUUCAACAAAAAUGCAAGACGGUCAUUGGUAAAUUUUCAUGAUUGAUUUAUCACAUCCCUCGACGUUUGCUUGCUUUCCCCGCUUUUCUAAAAUAGAUAGUCACAGAAUUGAUCUCCUAAACUAGGUUCUAAAAAGGAAAAAAAAAGGUGGAGAUCAAUUUUUCAUAAAAUUUAUUUUUCAGGUUCUAUAAUUGCCGGUUUUGACAAAACAGAUUUCGUGGAAAGUAACCGAACAUACGUUUUUGUAAAACUAACUCAUUUUGGUAAAACAUGGAAGACAUGAAAAGAUUAUAGCAAAAGGAUUUAGAUGACCAAAAGAAUACCAGCAAUACGAUACCGUAGGGAAAUAAAUCAAAGCCAUCAGAGCAAGUUGUCAUGGAAGGUAGCUCAUAGCUUCAAUUCCCUCUGUCCAUUCUAAAAAUUCCUGCAAGAAAAUUCAGAUGCCCUGUAGGAUGAAACCAAGUUAAUAAAUAAAGCUUGGUGCUUCAACAAGUCCAAGUUAAGAUGCCAUGUGAUCACAAGUGGGGCAAAAAAAAAACCUCUUAUAGGAAAAGAAAAAUCAAAUGUCUGUUAAUCUCAAAUACAUCACACAAAACCCAAUAGGAAAUGAUCAAAACAAGUUCCGCAUGUAAUUGCAUCAAUGAACAAACCAUAUAGAUUCUCAUAAGGUCAUUGCUUUCUAGCCAUCUUGGAGUUUCCUACAAGAAAACUACAUGGACUCAUUUACCAAGGAUACAUCUUUCCCAACCAAAGAGCUCCAAGAACCACAAACUUCAAAGACUGAACCAUCAAGAAUUAUAAUAAAUUAAAAAACAAACCUUGGUAAGCUCCCACCUGCAGUUAACUCAGAAAAAGGGGGAAAAAUGCUGUUACACAAGUUGUUGUCAAAUUAACUUGCUAGACCAUGAUGAUAGAUGAAUAACAGUGGAGAAAGGCCAUUAGCACUACUUGAAAAAUUGGAAAUAGCAACACAAAUGAACAAGUAUACUAGAAGUUACUGUAGUAAAAUGAGCAGAUUAAAAGGAGCCAAAAAGAAAAAGAUUGGCUCAGCUAGGGAAGACCCAUGAAAGCACAUAGUCAACAACAAUAACUAGAUUAGAAUUCUGUAUAUAUAACAAUAGUAAAAGCUCUCUGCAAGAACUUACACAUUGCAAAACUUCGUUUUCAUCAACAACCAAAUAUGCCCCAAGAAAUAGAAAAUGGAAAGUAACUCUCGCAAGUUGAGAGGAAUUCUGCCAAAACAGUUCAAUCAUAUCUCAAGAGCUUAACUUUUUAAAUCAUAAAAAAGGAAACUUCUCCACAACUUCAACCAUAUCUCAUCACACGGACUGAAGAUAGAUAUCCAAACCUAGCUAUAAAAAUAAAAUUACAAGAGAAUGGUUAUGCAAGGCAUGCGAAAGAGAUACCAUCAUACUCCAUAAUCUCUGCUUGGAGACAAAUUUGAUCACGAGAUCAUGAAAACUGCCAUUAAUCAUGCCUCCAAAAAGAAUAUCAUUAAUGAAAAUAAAAACUGCCCACAAAGAAAAAGACAGACCAUCCUCCUCAAUCUCUAAAGACUGCAAAAUACACAUACAAACCCCACAUCCAUGUUGACUGGGCAAAAGCAGCACAGCCAAGAAAUUGCUCCAAUAGCUCAGCUACCAUAAAAGAGAAGAUCAAAAUUCAAGUGUGAAAACAACAAAUAGGAAAUCUCCUCUCAACAAUGUCUGCUGCGACUUUGCAGAGUUGGAAAAAAUAAAGUAUUGAAUGAAAAGUCUUCCUUUUUCUGAUGUGAAGUAUUGAAUGAAAGUUGGAUCAAGAUGAUAGUAAAAAUGACUAUGAUACUGAAAAGAAUAUCUACAACAGACCAUAGAAUAAAAUCUUGGAGAACUCUCCUAGGACGAUGAAAUCCCUGCAAUUAGGUUUCAAUAGCACAUGGCAAAAUAAAGUGCAGACGCCAACUAAAAUGUCAGAUCUUUAAAAUUGCCAUUUGUCGGGUUGUUUAUAUAUAUAUAUAUAUAUAUAUAUAUAUAUAUAUAUAUNNNNNNNNNNNNNNNNNNNNUAUAUAUAUAUAUAGCAUAGUACAGAUG
rnacentral:lncRNA from 1 species